GACGAACGUUGGCGGCGUGCUUAAUACAUGCAAGUCGACUGAAGCAGUGGUAGCAAUAUCGCUGUGGAGGUGGCGCACGGGGGGGUAACACGUAGGUAAUCUGCCUUCAGGUCUGGCAUAACUCCGGGAAACCGGGGCUAAUAGCAGAUGAUGCAGCGGCUCGACAUCGAGACAGUUGUUAAAGCUAUGGCGCCUGAAGAUGAGCCUGCGUCUGAUUAGCUAGUUGGCGGGGUAACGGCCCACCAAGGCAACGAUCAGUAGCUGGUCUGAGAGGAUGAUCAGCCACGCUGGAACUGAGACACGGGCCAGGCUCCUACGGGGGGCAGCAGUAAGGAAUAUUGCUCAAUGGGAGGAAUCCUGAAGCAGCAACGCCGCGUGAGGGGCGAAGUGCUUUUGCUUGUAAACCUCUGUAGUGAGAGAAAAAGAUCCCAAUCUUUGGGACAUGAUGGUAUCUCAAAAGUAAGCCCCGGCUAACUACGUG
rnacentral:rRNA from 1 species